CCGGACAGGGAGGUCUUGGCUUGCUGGUGUUACAGUCUCGCCGUCCCGGGAGGCCUCCUGGCUACCUUUUGAUCCACCAGAGGGCCUAAUCGUGACGAGAGAGGAGGAGGUGAGAGAGUGGAGUCCGGUCAUCUUAUCACCACCACCGUGGGAAACAGCAGACUGUGCCUGGAGUCACCUGUUGCUGAGGUCUGGCCUGGUUGCUGCAUAUACAACAUCUUGACUCAUUUUUGGAGUGCCUAACGUGGGGCUUGUCUGGGCUUGCCCGGCCUCUUCCAUCGGCUUGCCGCCCUGCUUCGGACUUAUGUGAGCCUACCAUCGCUCAUACAGAACUAAGGGCUGAUCUGGGACAUUAUAGUAUGGAUGAUAAAUAUGAUACAUCAAGAGCAAGGACAGUGAUAAUUGCUUUUACCAGAGAGUCUGUCUGCCUAAAAGUCUACAAAUCCCUGUGGAAAAUUCAGGAUUUAAAAUAUAAUGGAAAUAAGGUGACAGUCUUUCAGGACUUGGCAAAAUCAACUAGAGAUGAAAGAGCUUCCUUCAAGGUUGUCACAGACAGACUCAGAACAGAGAAGAUUCAGUACACCUGGGCCUUUCCUGCUACUAUUGUUAUCUACAAAGAAGGAAAAAAAUUACCGCGAGAACUCCACAAGAGGGAAUCAAAAUGCUAAGGGAGCUGAACUUAACUUGUCCUUCACCCAAGAGACACUCUGCUGAAACAGAAUCAGAUGUCGAGACUGGUGCAACAACUGAGGAAGAUGAAGAAGGAUCUGUCUCACACUUGAGAACAGAACAUUGUUUAAAAAAGAAGGGCCAUAAGGGGGAAAAAAUGAUGUGAAACAACAUGCAUCCUCAUACAGGCCUCGAACAAGAAGGAACUGCAAAUAAUGAGACUUGAGUUAUGGUACAUGAAGUCUGAACAACCUUAUAAAAUAUAUGCUAAACUAACAGUUAUGAAUGUUAGAUCUAAUACAUUGUAAGAUGUUUAAGACAUUUAAGACUGAUUAAUAUCCAAGAAGAAAGUACUGUAUGCAACUAAAAAUCGCAAAGGGUAUUUAAAUUAAGGUGCACACAUAAUAAUGAUUACCAAGAGAAUCUAGAGACUGUUUUGUUAAUUAUUUGAUUGUGCUGGAAAGAGAAGGCUGAAUCUGCUCCCAGGUAAAGUAAAGGGGGAUUUUUAAAAAAAGUAACAGAGUAAGAGUAGGAAGUGUGGAGGUCAGAAUUCGAAGCAAUAGUCAAGUCUAAGUUAUGGGGUGGAAUGUAUAGAAUGUAUAGAAUAAGUGGGUGUUAUAUAGGUUAAGGGGAAAUACACAACAGGGGGAAGUUGCAGCAGGGGACUCUGCCCUUAUGAUACUCUGGAUGGGUACGAGGAGGUCCUUCCGAGCAGUCCCGCCAUCAAGGAGGGGGGCAAGGGAUCCAGAGGGGGGAAGAUAUGGGUUUUAGGUCAGGGAUCUGGAACAGCUAUAAACCAGAUUAAAAUAGUGGAAGAGACCUGGGGAAAUGGUGGGAAAAGUACACACCAGAUCAAUGGAGGAUGAAAUAAUUGUUCUAUAAAUUAAUAUGAACGGUCUCCUGUUAAAAGACAAAAAAUUGACAGGUUAUUAUUGGAAGAGCACAUUGACGUAUGCUUACUUCAGGAACCCCACAAAAGAAAGGACAGAACAAAAUUGUUGAACCUAAAAAGAUGGGAAUUACAAUAUGAAUCCCGGGGGGUCAAAAAUGUUGCAAGGAGUGGCAAUAUUAACAAAGGACAUACAUAGAUUUGGGUUAGAAAAAAAGGACGAUUUGUGAUGAUAAGGGGAAAAUUAAACAAUAACAAGAUCACUAUAGUAAGUAUAUACGCCCCUAAUAAAAACCAGUUAGGAUUUAUACAAAGAAAAGUAUACAUUUGAGAAAAUAAGAUCAGAAGUAGAUGAUGCAUUCCUACAUUUCCAAAAAAAUCCAUCUGUCGAAAAUAAGACAAGCUGGAAAAGAAAAAACAACAACUGGAGAAUUUAGACAAAAUAGAGACCAUAAAAAUACCUAUGGGUUAAAAAUUAUCAAAUUAAUUCAAUUAAUAACUCAAAAGACAGGUUAGCGUCCUAAACUCAAAACAAGCUAUAAACAGAAUACUUAAGCUGAAAGAUGAUAGAGGAUAUCUGAGAUCAUCAGAUAAGGAAAUCAGGGAGAUUAUGAGGCUUGAGCGAUCCAUGAAAAAAUGUUUCUAAACUUGCUUCAAAAGUAGGGGGCGCUGGCACUUCAUUUCUGAAACUACUUCCAAAAUUUUGUCUAAAAAAGUUUCAAAACUUAAGAAUAUUUGGAAUAUUUGAAAAUAAUUCGUUAAUGGCAGACGUGCAUGCGCAGUAGCCAAAAACAGCAGGGGGGACUUUACAGGACUCUCCCGCCCUCAUCUUUUGAGCUAUCCUCUUCAAACUCGGUACAGUGGUAGAACACAUUUAACACUGCUAGCUCACAAAAGUUCAGAACGUUUCCCUUAUCCUCUGAUAUUUGGCGAAUUUUCAUAGCUUUAUAAUAAAACCAUUUUUAGUAAUUGCAGAAAUCUGUUCCUGGUUUGAAAGUCUUAUUUCCAGUUUCAUUGGGUUGUCUUUACUUUGAAAGUCAUUGUUCUACUACAGAAACUUUGUUUUUGUGGCUGAAACUUUGUUAAAUUGGUGGACAGUGUCCCAGGAAACCAUAUGUGCUAUAGUACCAUGUCCCUUGUGCAAAGACAAAGUUCAGAUUAUAUGCAGUGGGGACAUAUAUUAUCCUCCUUAUCCUCCUCCUCCCCCUCCUCCUCUUCCUCCUCCUCCUUCUUUCGGAGGAGGUUUGCAAAGCUUUGGAGAACUUUUGUGCAAAAGAGGGAGAGAGAAAGGGAAGGCAAGGGAAACGUCUUCUCCUUCCCCCCCCCCUCCUUCCUUCCUCCCUUAUCCCAGAUUAUAUGCAGUGGGUGCUCAUAUAAUCCAGUUUAAAUCAGAUA
ensembl:lncRNA